UGUUAAGCUGGAGGAAGGUGGGGAUGACGUCAAGUCCUCAUGGCCCUUACACCUAGGGCUACACACGUAAUACAAUGGAUAGGACAAAGGGCAGCGAACCAGCGAUGGGGAGCUAAUCUCAAAAACCUAUCCUCAGUUCGGAUUGGAGGCUGCAAUUCGCCUCCAUGAAGGCGGAAUCGCUAGUAAUCGUGGAUCAGAACGCCACGGUGAAUACGUUCCCGGGCCUUGUACACACCGCCCGUCACACCAUGGGAGU
rnacentral:rRNA from 1 species